rnacentral:rRNA from 1 species
CAGCAGCCGCGGUAAUACGAAGGGGGCUAGCGUUGCUCGGAAUGACUGGGCGUAAAGGGCGCGUAGGCGGAUGGCACAGUCAGAUGUGAAAUUCCCGGGCUUAACCUGGGGGCUGCAUUUGAUACGUGUUGUCUAGAGUGAGGAAGAGGGUCGUGGAAUUCCCAGUGUAGAGGUGAAAUUCGUAGAUAUUGGGAAGAACACCGGUGGCGAAGGCGGCGACCUGGUCCUUUACUGACGCUGAGGCGCGAAAGCGUGGGGAGCAAACAGGAUUAGAUACCCGCGUAGUCCCUGUCUCUUAUAC